UCCAGCUACUGGUAAUGCUUUCAUCCGUGAAUGGCUUGCUUGGGACUCAGACUUCAUGCUUGAAGAAAUGCAGGCAGACCUGUUAUUCCCAAAACUAGGUUUUUAAUGACCACACCAAGCAAGCAUGCAGUUUACCCCUUGAAAGGGUCUUUCCUCACGCAGGCUGGAGUGCAGUGGCUCUUUGAGGCUUACUACAGCCUCAAACUCCUGGGCUCAGGUGAUCCUCAGCCUCCCAGUGGACUUUGUAGACAGGCUAAUGGAGUCUCAUGGUACAAGAAGAUUAAACAGUGUCUCCAAUUUCAACAAAUUUCUGCAAUCCAUC